UGAGCAUCAGGGAUGUGAGGGGAGUGGGUGACUCCUGGGAAGGUCUCGUGCAGGGAGUAGGAUUUGCUUAGGUCCUUGAAGGGCAAGUCAAUUUCACAGUGGCUGACAGUCCAGGCACAGAUAAAUGCAAUGAGCACUGGCAUGGAGGCUGGCAGGUUCCAGGUGCAACCACCACAUGCCAUUAGUGCCCAGAGCAGCUGCGCCCCAACUGGCUCCCACCUGAUUCCUUCAUUUGGACCAUCCUCCUCCCCUCCACAAUAGCCUGGCUGCGCCUCUCCUUCCAGACCCUGCACACAGCACCUCCUUCUGGGAGCUUCCUUGAGUAUCAACCCUGCACACCAGUGAGCACAGAGCCUUGUCUAGCUUUCUUUCCCCUCUGUGCUCCCAUCCUCUAUUUGGUUGCCUGACUUUUAGAGCAAGGAAGACGUAGAUUUUGAUGCCAACACAUAGCAUCUGUGUGACAUGAGGCAAAUUACUGAACCUCUCUGAGCUCCAUGGUUGAAGGACCC
rnacentral:lncRNA from 1 species